rnacentral:rRNA from 1 species
AUACGGAGGGUGCAAGCGUUAUCCGGAUUCACUGGGUUUAAAGGGUGCGUAGGCGGGCAGAACAGUCAGUGGUGAAAUCUCCGGGCUUAACCCGGAAACUGCCGUUGAUACUAUUUGUCUUGAAUAUUGCGGAGGUAAGCGGAAUAUGUCAUGUAGCGGUGAAAUGCAUAGAUAUGACAUGGAACACCAAUUGCGAAGGCAGCUUACUACACAAUGAUUGACGCUGAUGCACGAAAGCGUGGGUAGCGAACAGGAUUAGAUACCCUGGUAGUCCACGCCCUAAACGAUGAUUACUCGACAUACGCGAUACACUGUGUGUGUCUGAGCGAAAGCAUUAAGUAAUCCACCUGGGAAGUACGACCGCAAGGUUGAA